rfam:Paenibacillus uliginis N3/975 genome assembly, chromosome: I
GAGGCGGUAUCUUCUACGGGAAGAACUGCACUCUGGGGACAGAAUUGAACUUUAAGGAACACCUUCUUAACUGCUUUUGCCGGUUACGUUGGAUUCUGCUCUGAGCCGAAAGGACCGAGACAGAAGG